CCUACGGAGGGCAGCAGUGAGGAAUAUUGGUCAAUGGGCUUACGCCUGAACCAGCCAAGUCGCGUGAGGGAAGACUGCCCUAUGGGUUGUAAACCUCUUUUGUCAGGGAGCAAUUGGCGCUACGUGUAGCGUUAUCGAGAGUACCUGAAGAAAAAGCAUCGGCUAACUCCGUGCCAGCAGCCGCGGUAAUACGGAGGAUGCGAGCGUUAUCCGGAGUUAUUGGGUUUAAAGGGUGCGUAGGCGGAAUGCCAAGUCAGCGGUAAAAUCGAGGGGCUCAACCUCGCUCCGCCGUUGAAACUGGCGUUCUUGAGUGGGCGAGAAGUAUGCGGAAUGCGUGGUGUAGCGGUGAAAUGCAUAGAUAUCACGCAGAACUCCGGUUGCGAAGGCAGUAUACCGGCGCCCAACUGACGCUGAAGCACGAAAGCGUGGGUAUCGAACAGGAUUAGAUACCCUAGUAGUC
rnacentral:rRNA from 1 species